rnacentral:lncRNA from 1 species
CUAGACCAAUUAGGAACUCCAUUUACAGAUGAGAAAUAUUUUCAAUAUUUAUAUACUACCAAAAGCAGAUACAGAGAAAGAUUCAAAUGAUCAAAGCCCAUUGUUUGAAGACUUACAACGUUCAAGGCCUGAAUGCUAUGAGUGCCACUGACUGCCAGGGCUCCUGAAAAGAGUUCAACUGAAUUUGAAGGCUUAUACAGAUUCUUUUUCUCUCCUCCUUCACAUAACACUAAAACAGUAAUUAGAGCAUGGUAUGAAUAUAUUAGCUUUGUUGUGAAUGCCCUCCAAUGUUCAAUAAUUAGUCAGUGAAGUUUGAUUAAAACAACAGUGUGUUAAAUUUGUGAAAACUUUAGAAUCAUAUAAUUUUCUUCCUAUUGUAGAUGCAAGCUCUUUUGUGGAGGAACAAUUUUAAUUAUUACAUUAAUCAUUGCAUUUUAGUGAAUAACAUACUUGUCUAAGGUUAAGUAUAGCCUUGCCUGGACAAAACAGAGAAA